CAGUAGCCGCGGUAAUACAGAGGGUGCAAGCGUUAAUCGGAAUUACUGGGCGUAAAGCGCGCGUAGGUGGUUUGUUAAGUUGGAUGUGAAAUCCCCGGGCUCAACCUGGGAACUGCAUCCAAAACUGGCAAGCUAGAGUAUGGUAGAGGGUGGUGGAAUUUCCUGUGUAGCGGUGAAAUGCGUAGAUAUAGGAAGGAACACCAGUGGCAAAGGCGACCACCUGGACUGAUACUGACACUGAGGUGCGAAAGCGUGGGGAGCAAACAGGAUUAGAUACCCCGGUAGUCCCUGUCUCUUAUAC
rnacentral:rRNA from 1 species